rnacentral:rRNA from 1 species
AGUGAACGCUGGCGGUAGGCCUAACACAUGCAAGUCGAACGGCAGCACAGUAAGAGCUUGCUCUUACGGGUGGCGAGUGGCGGACGGGUGAGGAAUACAUCGGAAUCUGCUUUUUCGUGGGGGAUAACGUAGGGAAACUUACGCUAAUACCGCAUACGACCUACGGGUGAAAGCAGGGGAUCUUCGGACCUUGCGCGAUUGAAUGAGCCGAUGUCGGAUUAGCUAGUGGGCGGGGUAAAGGCCCACCAAGGCGACGAUCCGUAGCUGGUCUGAGAGGAUGAUCAGCCACACUGGAACUGAGACACGGUCCAGACUCCUACGGGAGGCAGCAGCGGGGAAUAUUGGACAAUGGGCGCAAGCCUGAUCCAGCCAUACCGCGUGGGUGAAGAAGGCCUUCGGGUUGUAAAGCCCUUUUGUUGGGAAAGAAAAGCAGCAGGUUAAUACCCCGCUGUUCUGACGGUACCCAAAGAAUAAGCACCGGCUAACUUCGUG